rnacentral:other from 1 species
AUGCUCCUGGGGUGUCUGACAGCACGCUGGUUUUCCCCACAUUUCUACAAAUGGAGUCCGGGUCUAUGUUCGGCUAUGUCAUGCCCCCGUUGCAAAACGCCAGGGGAAGGCAGAUGCAGACGGCAGGACACCUACCUGCUUUAACAGCGGGUGAAAAGCAUGCAGUGCAUCGUCACUCUGGGAGCAUC